GACGAACGCUGGCGGCGUGCUUAACACAUGCAAGUCGAACGAAGUGGCGAACGGGUGAGUAACGCGUAAUUAACCUGCCCUUCAGAGGGGGACAACAGUUGGAAACGACUGCUAUUAUCGCAUACUGAAGGAGGGGACUGCGUCUUAUUAGCUCGUUGGAGGGGUAACGGCCUACCAAGGCGAUGAUCAGUAGCCGGUCUGGGAGGAUGAACGGACACAUUGGGACUGGGACACGGCCCAGACUCCUACGGGAGGCAGCAGUGGGGAAUCUUCCGCAAUGGACGAAAGUCUGACGGAGCAACGCCGCGGGAGUGAUGACGGCCUUCGGGUUGUAAAGCUCUGUUAAUCGGGACGCGGUACCGGAAUAGAAAGCCACGGCUAACUACGUGCCAGCCGCCGCGGUAAUUC
rnacentral:rRNA from 1 species